GAUGAACGCUGGCGGCGUGCCUCAAACAUGCAAGUCGAGCGGGGCUAUGUAAUAUCGCAAGGUAGAACAUAGCCUAGCGGCGAACGGGUGAGUAACACGUGGGUAACCUGCCUGGAAGACAGGGAUAACGAUUCGAAAGGGUCGCUAAUACCUGAUAAUAUCCUUUCAUCGCAUGGUGAUAGGAAGAAAGGGGAAACCCGCUUUCAGAUGGGCCCGCGUCCCAUCAGCUAGUUGGUAAGGUAAAGGCUUACCAAGGCGACGACGGGUAGCCGGUCUGAGAGGAUGUACGGCCACACUGGGACUGAGAUACGGCCCAGACUCCUACGGGAGGCAGCAGUUGGGAAUCUUAGGCAAUGGACGAAAGUCUGACCUAGCGACGCCGCGUGAGGGAAGAAGGCCUUCGGGUUGUAAACCUCUGUCAUGGGGAAGAAGUAAGUGACGGUACCCCAAGAGGAAGCCCUGCUAACUACGUG
rnacentral:rRNA from 1 species